rnacentral:tRNA from 1 species
GGGGAAGUAGCUCAGUGGUAGAGUGCUUGCCUUGCAUGCAUGAGGCCCUGGGUUCGAUUCCUCAGCACCA